AUUGAACGCUGGCGGCAGGCUUAACACAUGCAAGUCGAACGAGUGGCGGACGGGUGAGUAAUGCUUGGGAAUCUAGCUUAUGGAGGGGGAUAACUACGGGAAACGGUAGCUAAUACCGCAUACCAUCAGAUGAACCCAUAUGGGAUUAGCUGGUAGGUAAGGUAACGGCUGACCUAGGCGACGAUCCCUAGCUGGUCUGAGAGGAUGACCAGCCACAAGGGACCUGAGAAACGGUCCAGACUCCGACGGGGGGCAGCAGGGGGGAAGAUUGCACAAGGGGGGCAAGCCUGAGGCAGCCAUGCCGCGGGUGUGAAGAAGGCCUUCGGGUUGUAAAGCACUUUCAGCGAGGAGGCGUUACUCGCAGAAGAAGCACCGGCUAACUCCGUGCCAGCAGCCGCGGUAAUAC
rnacentral:rRNA from 1 species